GUUAUUUUUAGAAUACUUAGAUGAUGGUAUUUUAAAUGUUUUUAUUAGUAAGUCAUAUAAAAAAGUAGUGCAAGUUGCACAAGCUAAAUACUUUUUAUUUUGCUGUACUAUUAUGAAUCCGAUAGUUAUUAUACCAGAAGAUAAAAAUAUUAUAUAUAACUAUAGGGGUAAGUUAAAAAGCUCGUCGUCUCAUCUUGGCACUCACAGUAGUGGCAUUUAUGAAAAGAAAUCGCUUAAUCAAAAUAAUAACAUCCCUUAUAUAGAAUCUUAUUUAAUGUUUCACUUGAAUACUAUAAGAUUCAAAAAUGCGUAUACCAUAUAUUUUGUUAAGGAUAUUGUAUCGGGGGAUAAUAGUCAGGGGAAAAAGAAAUACGACAGGAAAAAAUUGGGUAGCAACAAAAGAAUAAAAGAAGUUGGUAGUAGUUAUAGUACCAACGCUUUUACUAGUGCAGUUGCUAGUACUAAUCAAACGAAUGUUCUUACAACCGCAGAACACAAAUAUGAUUUUACAUUGUAUGUAGAAUUAUUAAAUGUUGAGUGUAGGGCAUGUGAAAAUGGUGGUAGCACAAAUAUUGCAGGCGAUAUUUUAAAAAAGGUAAAUAUAGAGUUAUGUUUAAUUAACAGAAAAGAUGGAAUGUUUAUUUAUUUGAAUGGUACCGAUUUAUAUUUAGAUCUAACAGUUUUUCAAUUGGCUUUUUUGUUAGAUAUAAUAAAUGAAAACUUUUGCUAUAAAGGAUAUUUUCCUUUAUGCUUUAUUUGUGACAGACAUAUAGAUAUAAAUAAUUUGAUAAAUAGUGAAUGGUUUAAAAAGGGGAACAUCAAUUUGAACAACUUAAAUUUUAAAAACGACAUAAGUUAUAGUGGUGUUAGAAAUGGUACUACAAAUAGUAAUCGUGACAGUGUUGGUGUUGUUGGUGUUGGUGGUGUUGGUGGUGUUGGUGGUGUUGGUGUUGGUGGUGUUGGUGUUGAUGUUGGUGGUGGUGUUGAUGUUGGUGGUGGUGUUGAUGUUGAGCUAAAUGUAGAUGAUUCUUGUGACAUUGUAGAGGCUAAGUCGGGAACGAAGUGUAAGAUAAACUCUACCGGUUCAGAUAACAACAUUAGUACUAACCACGAUGUUAGCACUGGAAAUGAUGUCAGAACUGGCAAUAGAGUUAGUACUAACAACAACACUACUGUUGAGAAUCAUCCACAAAAAACUACCGGAUUAAAGCUAUACUUAUACAUCAAUUUGAAAAGCUUAAAAAUUAAAACAUUGUUUGGCACGACAAAGCCUGUAGCUAUAAUUACGUUUGAAAAUAUAAGUAUGUCAUUUCAAUUAGUACUAUUAGAUUUUUAUUUUAUUUAUUUUUUUAAUCUUCAUAGUACUUCUUUAUAUAUCGAUGAUUUAAGAAAAAAUUCGUUAAAUUAUUACAAAAGAGUUGCAUACUGUUGUAUAGAAAAUGAAAUAAAAAAAAAAAAAAAAAAAUAAAAAAAAAAAUAAAAAAAAUAGAAAAAAUAAAAACUCAAAUAAGGAUGAUUAUAAGGGUGAUUAUAAGAGGAUAAUAAAAAGCAGAAACAAAAAAAAAGAAAAAAAAAAGAGUCAAAUGGGGCUUGAAGAUGUUAAUAGUAGUAUAAGUGUAGAUAAAAAAGUGGGUAACGCUGAUGAUAUAACUAGUGUGUUAAAGAUAGAGGGAGACACAAGUGAAUCGUUGUACAGUAGUAUAGAUGAUACGCACAGAGAAAAAGAGGUACCCAUGGAAAUUAACCACAACAUGUAUAUAGGAAAAGGACCUAAUAAGGAUGCGUCAACUAGUAAUCAAGAUUCUUCCAACAUAAUGACGAAACCCAAAUUUAGUAUCAUGCUAAACUAUAUGUUUAAAAAUAAUGUAUUUCUAAAUAAGAAGAAAAAAGGUAGAAAGCAAAAAGGAAUAAAAAUAAAAAUCAAUUCAUUUAUAGAAGAUAUCUUAUUAAGUAUCGAAUUGGAUGAUGCUUAUAUUUGUUGUUGUUUUGUUAUUUUUAUGGAUAUAUAUAAAUUUUUAUCAACCGGUAUAAAUUUGAGUACAUUUCAUUUAUACCCUAAACCAUCCCCUUAUAUUAUAUCUUCAUACAACGUUGAUAAAAAAAAAGAAAAGAAAAAUAACAAAGGGGUUGUGGAUGUAAUAAAUGAUGUUAGUGUGAAAAGAUAUGAUUGUAUGGUUGAAGAAUCAUUGAAUUAUAAAAACUACAAUAUUAGGAAAGAUAAGCAAGCUAAGACAUAUAUUGAAGUAGAAAAUGACAAAGAUAGUGGUGAUAAUAUAAAUAAAUAUGAUAAUAUAAAUAAAUAUGAUAAUAUAAAUAAAUAUGAUAAUANNNNNNNNNNAUAUGAUAAUAUAAAUAAAUAUGAUAAUAUAAAUAAAUAUGAUAAUAAAAAUAUUAUUAAUUGUAAUAUUAAAUCUAGUGGGAUUAAGGACAAUGUGCUUAAGAGUGGACCAGUUGAAAGAAAAAAAAAUGGAGUUGUAUUUGGAACUAUUCAUAAUGAACAUGAUAUGUAUGAUGAUAAAACAAACAAAAAAAAUUAUGUAUCACCAACAACUAAUGGAAUAGAGAGUAUAAAAAGGAAUAUAUAUAACAAUGUAUGUACUUGUAAAAACACAAAAGAAUAUAUAAAGGAAUUAAUAGAAGAUGAUAAUCAUCAAAAAAUAACUUAUAUAAAUGAUUUAUUAAAGUUAAAUAACAAACCGUUUCAUAUAAAUUUUAAAGUCAAUAAUGGAAAUUUCAUUAUAUUCACAGAAAUAGAGAACCCAGACAAACCUAUUUUUAUUUGGUCUAACAAUUUUAUUUUUUCAUUUUCCAUCUUAAAUAAAUGUAUUAUUUUUCGAAAAAUAUAUGCAAUUGAUAGUAAGAUAAGAAGAAUAAAUUAUUUAAUUAAUAAAAACCAAAAUAAGAAAGAAAAGGAACGUUUUGCUAGUAUUGAUAGUUCUACUAUUGCCAGCGGUUGUUAUGGUAUCAGUGCUGAUGGGUAUGAAGAGGGUUAUAGCAGUAACAGUAGUAAGGACACAAAAAGUUAUACUUUGUUAAAUGGUUAUUAUAAAGAAAAAGUAUUAUUAUGUGAUAAUUUAAACAUUACUGGGGAAGCUGUAUACGAAUCAUUCGACAAUAAUAUAUUUACUGGUGCUGAUGGUAGUAGUAGUAGUAGUACUAGUAUUAGUACUACUAGCGGUUCCAAAAGUCGAUACCUUUCGUAUUUAUUAAAAACAAAUAUGAAAAGGAAAAAGAAUAAAUCUCCAUCUAGUAUAUCUCUAUUUGAGCUUGAUCUGCAAAUCGGCAAUUUUUAUAUAAGAUUAUCUAACGACGACCUUGAAAUUUUAUUAAAAGCAUUAAGUACUUUUUUUGGUGAUAAACCUAGUGUUUUCCCAAACAUUACAAUAGGAUCUAUUAUACCUCCUGUAAAUUAUAUACAUCGUAAAAUUAAGAGCAAAUUCAUGAAAAAUAAUAUUUAUUUUAUAUAUAUGGAUGAUAAAAAAGAAGAAAGUAUGACAACUAAUGGUUGUGGUGUGAAUAUGAAUACUAUGAUUAUAACUAAUUUGCACAUGCUUAAACGUAGACACAAAUUUAGUACUUUUGAUAAGUUUGAAAAUGAGCAAGGACGAAUAAAAUUGCAUGAACCUUUGACAGGACCUUGUGAAAACACAUCUGUGGAACUUAUUAAGACAUCCAUUUAUAAUCCUGAUGCAGUGAAGGUAGCAGAUUCAAAUGAAUACAGUAAUAACAUAGGAGCGGAAAACGAUUAUUAUUACAGUAGCAGCUCCGAAUCAUACGAUUCUAAGUUAUAUGAACUUGAAGAAAGUUUUUUUAAUAAUCGUAUAAAAACGAGUGAGUAUGAAGCAGUUACUACAACAGUUGCGACUGCCGGUAUUGGUUCAACUACUGCGGUGGCUACUACUACUGCGGUGGCUAAUACUACUGCGGAGGCUACUACUGCUGCGGAGGCUACUACUACUGCGGAGGCUACUACUACUACUACUACCACUACCAGUGGUACCACCACAACCAGUACAGAUGUCGAAACAUAUAGACACAUAAAAAUAAAUAUCAAAUUGAAUAACAUAAAUUGUACUUUUAUUGAUGAUAUCAAAAAUGCUAUAGUACCUAUUAUACGAAUGGUAUUCAGUAUGGAAAUAAAUUUAAACUUUACAACUGACGAAUGUUCACAUAGUCUUAAUAAUUGGAAUUCCAAAAUUGAAUACUUUAAUAAUUGUAUAGGAGAAUGGGAACCAUUUCUGGAAAAAUGUAAUAUUUCGUUAGACGUUCAUGAGAUAUUACCGAAUGAUAUGUAUAGUGUAGAUAUAGAAUCAAAUAAAUCUCCAAUAACUAUAAUAAAAAUAAAUAGUAUUAAAGCAUUAUGGUUUAAUAUGACACCGCAGCUGAUUAACUUGCUUGUUCUUUUUGUGCCUGUUUUUAUGGAAAAAGUAACAAAUUGGUUGCAAGCGAAAAAGGAAUUGAAUGAAAAGACGGACCCAUAUAAAGAAUGUAAAUGGAGCAAGAAGAAGGGAACUGGAACAAGACCAAGAUCAGAUGUUACUAAAGCGGUAGGGUCAGCUGAAUACUCACAAACUGACAAGAACCAUGGCGAGCCAAAUGAUUUGAAAGAAAAACCGAAUGAUGUGGCAGAAAAAUCAAAAGAUGUGGCAGAAAAAUCAAAAGAUGUGGCAGAAAAAUCAAAAGAUGUGGCAGAAGACAACGUGUCGUUAUUCGAAUCAACUGUAGAUGAAACCAUCAAUAACCAAUUUAAAAGCACAACACUAAAUGACUUGUUAACAAAAAAGAAAAACAUGGUUGAUGAUAAAUCAUGUGACAUUUCUGCAAAAGAAAAUUCCGUAAUAUAUUAUGUAAACCUAACAAACGAGUAUUAUUAUGCUUUUGUAAUGAAUGACAUUAAUCAAAUGAAAAGUAGAAAAGAGAGAAAAAACAAAAAUAAUAAUAAAAGAGUUUUUUCUGAUAAUACCGACGGGAAUUGUGCCAUUAGCACUACAGCUACUACGACUGAAGACGAUUGCAAUAGUGGUUUUAUUAUAAAAAACAGAUUUGGAAAUUCGACACAUAUUAACAAUUUAAACAACUUAAAUAAUAAUCAAAAGAGUAUCACACAAAAUAGUACAUCAAUCGAAUGUGUAGAAAAAACAGAAAAUAAAAAAAAUGUAAUAAAUUAUGACCUGUUAAACAGAAUGCCAAAAUUUUAUGCUAAGAUUAUAAGAACAAAUGAAUUAACGUCAUUAGAUGGGUUAUUAAUUAAUGACAUUAUGAAUAAUUCUUUAAUAGAAAAAAAUUGUUUGUAUUUAUAUAUGAUUCCUAUCCCACCUAAUAAUGUGAUUAAUACAAUUCAUGACAUGUUCCCAAAUAUAUAUAAACGGGAUAUUAUUUUAGAUUUAAUUAUUACAAAAAAAUUAAAAAAAACAAUUGAUAAUAUGCUGAAUUAUAGUGAGCAACGAACAGAGGAAGGUGAUAUAAAUAUCGAAUAUAAAAGAAUAAAAGAAAAAGUGACAAGGCACAUAAAAGAAAAAAGUAUACAACAGAAAGAUGAUUUUUAUUUAUAUAAUAAUGUUGGUACAGGCAUAAAAACAAAAGAUGAGCGGGAUAGGAAUAGGGAU
rnacentral:lncRNA from 1 species